UACGGAGGGUGCAAGCGUUGUUCGGAUUUAUUGGGCGUAAAGCGCGUGUAGGCGGUCUCUUAAGUCAGGCGUGAAAGCCCUGGGCUCAACCUGGGAGUGGCGCUUGAUACUGGAGGACUAGAGAGUGGGAGAGGUUGGUGGAAUUCCCAGUGUAGAGGUGAAAUUCGUAGAUAUUCGGAAGAACACCAGUGGCGAAGGCGACUUACUGGACACAUAUUGACGCUGAGGUGCGAAAGCGUGGGGAGCAAACAGG
rnacentral:rRNA from 1 species